GUUGUAGUCUGGAGAAGUGCCUUCCGCGUUGGACCGUGUAUAAGUCUCUUGGAACAGAGCGUCAUAGAGGGUGAGAAUCCCGUCUUUGACACGGACUACCAGUGCUUUGUGAUGCGCUCUCGAAGAGUCGAGUUGUUUGGGAAUGCAGCUCAAAAUGGGUGGUAAAUUCCAUCUAAAGCUAAAUAUUGGCGAGAGACCGAUAGCGAACAAGUACCGUGAGGGAAAGAUGAAAAGCACUUUGGAAAGAGAGUUAAACAGUACGUGAAAUUGCUGAAAGGGAAACGCUUGAAGUCAGUCGCGUCUGCCGGNAACUCAGCCUUGCUCCCGCUUGGUGCACUUUCCGGUGGACGGGCCAGCAUUGAUUUUGACCGUCGGAGAAGGGCUGGAGAAAUGUGGCACCUUUUGGUGUGUUAUAGUCUUCGGUCGCAUACGUCGGUCGGGAUCGAGGAACGCAGCGCGCCGCAAGGCAGGAGCGUAAAGCUCACUUUCGCGCUUAGGAUGCUGGCAUAAUGGCUUUAAACGACCCGUCUUGAAACACGGACCAAGGAGUCUAACGUGCCUGCGAGUGUUUGGGUGGAAAACCCGAGCGCGAAAUGAAAGUGAAAGUUGAGACCUCUGUCGUGGAGGGCAUCGACGCCCGGACCUGACGUUCUCUGACGGCUCCGCGGUAGAGCAUGUAUGUUGGGACCCGAAAGAUGGUGAACUAUGCCUGAAUAGGGUGAAGCCAGAGGAAACUCUGGUG
rnacentral:rRNA from 1 species